GAGAUCUUUUGGCAUGGAUUGUGCCCGUUCCUGUUUACAUCAGGGAGUAUGCUCCCUCCCAAUGCGCUUGUGAUCCACUUGAGUGGAAACUACCUGAGAGGCAGGAGAGGCCUCCAUUGGCACGGCUUGUGCCAGUUCCUCUUUGAGUUGGGGAGUGUGCUUCCUCCUGAUGUGCUGGUAUUCCACUUGGGUGGAAAUGACCUGAGUGGCAGGGGAGGCCUUCAUUAGCACGGCUUGUGCCGAUUCCUGUUUGCAUCAGGGAGUGUGCUCCCAUGUGAUGUGCUGGUGAUCCACUUGGUGGAAGCGACCUGAGCCUUAUCCAAGGGUUGGUCUAUUUCUGAGGAAUCAAGGAGGCUGGCCACAUACUCACAUUGCGUGGUCGGCUGUGAGUCAAAGAUUCAAGUGGCCAGGUCGUGGCGGUGGCAAGAAGCCUGAAAUAGCAAGGAAGAGUCAACCGAGCUGUACGCAAGCCCAGUCAGGCCAUGACUGAGACACGAGCCACCUUAGAAGCGGAAAACGAAUGGAUGCAGUAUUAUACAAAAAUGCUUGAACAGUUGGUGAAAAGCACCCACCAGAUCAACAAAUGUACGAAGGAUAUCCUACGCCAUCAGAGGAAAGUGCUGAAAUCUGAAUUAAGAGCAAGAAGAAAGACCUAUGAAAAUGUAAGGUGCUGGACAUAGACUGCGGGUUCUGAUCUGAGGCACUGGG
rnacentral:lncRNA from 11 species